GUGACGUAACGCGCGGGGAAAGGGGGCAGGCGCCCGGCGCGUGCGCACAGCGGAAGGCGAAGCAAAGGUCGCGCGGCGCCCCGAGCGGGUGGUCAGGGCGGCGGCCGUGACGUAACGGCCGGCCCCGCCCCUCGGUUGCCAGGGGGAAGGGACCCCAAGAGAGGUCUGGGCCGUGCCUCAGGGCGCUGAGGGGCGCUGCGGGGCGUGCAGGAGCGUAUAGUAAUUGUAUAAGCACAUUAUCACUCCUCGUUUGAUGGGGGCACGUUUUUAUCCGCUACUUGUCAUGCCUGGAGCGUCACACACAAUUUUGUCCACUUUCUAGCGUUUUACCGCUCAGCACAUACUAAAUACAUGUACACCAUGUAAGCUGUUUUUGAAAACUGUGGCUUGAUUGAAGACAGUUGAAUCUGGUUUUGUUAAAUAUAUGAAAUAAUGAAAUGCUCUCAGGGAAGAUACUGAACCUGGGAGGCUUUCAGUGCUAAAGCCAAAAUUAUUGCUACGAAAUUCUGUCCUGAAGGAAAGAAAGAUAAACCAAAUAUGCACUGAAGUCCAGUAUUAAAGAAAAUGUAGCAAAACAGCCAACCGGUUCUCUUAAGAGGUACACUGCAGAUAAUAGAAGAAAGAAGGCCUUACAGGACUAGGCUGGAACUUGGGAAAGAAAUUCGGAUGGAAGACAGGAACCUGUUCAGCUGUACCCCAUACGGGUGAGGGACAAAGAUGGAAGACAUAGAGUGAGUGAAAACUCCUGAUAAAGGCUGUGCCUGUAAUGUUUGUUGCUUGCUGUGUUGUACACAGUCUGAGAUGUAGAGGGCAAAUGAACUACUGUUUGGACCAGCUGGAAAGGCAGUGUCAUCUCUGAGAUACUGCAAUUGCUAAAGGUCUACGUAUUAGGCUCCUUCUUAAGACAAAGCUAAAUAUGUGCAUAAUAUAUUCUAUUGUGUAACAUUUUUAUCAAAUGAGUCCUGGUUGUAUUUUAAGUUCUGGUUAUAGUCAUUUCUUGUGGCAGCGUAUUUUUGCUUUGUGCAGUUGUCCUAACAUUGUGAUGUUUUCUUUUUUUUUUUUUUUGUUGUAAAUGACGUGCAUUAUUUAACUGAAUGUCUGGAUUGCAUUCGAUGCAUAUUUUCCAUUAUUGGAAAGACAAAAAGUAUUGUCAAAAUAAAAAUAACUGCUGCUGUAUUGUCACAUGCCUAUGCUAUGAAGAUAAAAAUGUUUGGGAGCGGUAUGUAGAAAUGUUUUCUGCACCUAAGGAUGCAGAGUGCAGUUGAUGGAUUUGAUCUUAGCAGAUGAAGGCAGAGCUUAGAGUUCUUUUUAUAUCUGCUGUUCCUCUGGUUUUAUAGAGUCAAUUUUCUAGAUGCAACUAUGUGACAUUAGGGGAGAGAGAAGGAGUAUCCCACUAUAAGAGCUUUCAGGUGUACAGAGAGGCUGAAAAUUGCCAAGCCAGGGUAUUGUUUUCGAAUCCAGUUAAGCGCAGGCCACCGUGCACACCACUGUGAUAAGUUGUCAAAAAACCGAAUGGGCCAAGUGUGAUUGAAUUAACAUUUAAACUAAUACACCUUUAAAGUGGGACAUAGCACAGUUCUGACCGCGGGGCAGAAAACAGGUAACGCAGGCAGAGAGGCCAGCCAAUCCAGGCAACGUGCAAAGCAGAGCGGGCAGCUGGAAAAUUGCCAACAUAUUUCCUAGCUGAAUCAAUCGCACAACCAUUAUAAUGCAAUGACUUACUGACUGUUAAAUUUACUGAUGAGUUUAACAGGUGUGAAAAUAUUGAAGUACUUUGUCCUCUCUUUCACGCCGCAGAUUUAUAUUACAAACAUGGGUAUGCAUUUUAUAGCCAUUUAGUAGAAUCUCCAGGACUGGGGCAGGUAGAAAUCUCUGUGCCAUUCCCAAUAGCUGGCCUGUGGGGAGCUGGGUAGAUU